UUCUCUCCAUCACCCACUGUCUCCUUCUCUCUCCUUCUCCAAUCCUGACCCGUUAGAUAAAUCUUGCGGUCAAAAUCUAUUUUGACAAAACAAGCGUACUACACAUAUUACAUGUAAUCCCAAACUUGAAACAAAACAUCCUUUGCGUGCGAACGAUUCAGACAACAACACCAACUUGGGCGGCGGCGCAACAGUGGGUGAAGUAGUGGCGCUGUGGUCGGAGAUGACGCUGCGGUGGGCGAAGCAGCGGCGCUGUGGUUGGAGAUGACGCAACGCUCGAAGACGCAGCGGCAAGAGACGGCAGUUUAUGCGGUGGUCGACGAAAAGACGAUAAGUGGUCAGCAAAGCAGAGAAAACACAACAUAAGAUGAAUGAUAAAAAUUGAAAUUAUUGAAGCACAAUGGAGAAAAUUGGUUUGUCAUCAAAUGGUGUAUUGAUGUAGUGUUUUGUUGCGAAUAUCACAGCCACUGCACACAAACCACCUUGCUGCUACUGCUGGGUCUGUUUCAAUUUUUGUUGAUGCUGGAUGUAGUGUGAAUGCACCAACAGGCUGGGGUUUGGUUUUCAAAGAUCACAAUAGUGUAACAACCUUCAGUGCUUGUAAAAGAGACGACAUUUCAGUCGAUCCAAUUAUGGUUGAGGCUUUGGGUAUUAUACGGGCCAUCCAACUAGCUCGAGAUCUAGGCCUAAAUUAUGUCUCCAUUUUCUCUGAUGCAGCUACUGUGGUGGAUUAUAUUAACAAGAAGGCAAAGAUAGCAGCAAUUGAUAUGGUGGUCCAAGAUUGUAGAGCUUUAAUUUCUAGUUUGUUAAAUGUUAGUGUUAUGUUUGUUAGAAGAGACCAAAUUGGUGAUGCUCAUAACCUGGCCUCAUUGGCAAAAGUUGUGGGUAAUAGAACAUGGAUAGGUGUAACUCCCAUUGUGUUUGGUAUUUCAAAUUAUGCAGGUGAUCAUGUUUCUAUAUGUAUUCCAAAUGGUUGUGUUCCAGCUUUUAUCUAAUGAAUGAUGUUUAACUU